rnacentral:rRNA from 1 species
AAUAUUGGACAAUGUGCGAAAGCCUGAUCCAGCAAUGCCGCGUGUGUUAAGAAGGAAUUCGGACUGUAAAGCACUUUAUGUAGGGAGAGAGGGCAGUAAGUUAAUACCUUGCUGUUUUGACGUUACCGACUGAAUAAGCACCGGCUAACUUAGUGCCAGCAGCCGCGGUAAUACGAAGGGUGCAAGCGGUAAUCGGAAUUACUGGGAGUAAAGCGCGCGUAGGUGGUUUUUUAAGUUGGAAGUGAAAGCCCCGGGCUCAACCUGGGAACUGCUUUCAAAACUGGCAAGCUAGAGUAUGGCAGAGGGUGGUGGAAUUUCCUGUGUAGCGGUGAAAUGCGUAGAUAUAGGAAGGAACACCAGUGGCGAAGGCGACCACCUGGGCUAAUACUGACACUGAGGUGCGAAAGCGUGGGGAGCAAACA